CAAGCAUAGUUGUCUUCUAGCUUUUCUUCAUGUGUGUACCCGAGAGUCAGACACCCAAGGACAGUGCCUGUUUUUAUGCUACAGUUAGGACAGUUUCUGCUUUUGUGCUACAGCCAUCUUCCAUUCUACCAACCCCUCCCGUACACCUGUCCUUGAGCGGCCCCACAACCAGGCAUUGUGUGUGUGUGUGUCAAGAGUCUACUCAGCCUUCACUCCUACUAGCCAGCAACCCUCCAGUUAGUCAUGUCUAUUAUAUGUUGCUCAAUCUAUGUUAAUACAAUAUAAACCUCUUAGUGCAUUACAGUCCAUUCAUACUUAGGCCUACAUCUACUGUAAAUGGUAAUGCAUCACAUCUAAUAAGUGAAAUAAAACCCAACAGUUUCAAGCAGAGAUUCAAUAUCUACCUCGCAGCCAGUGGAGCAGGGGGAGAUUUGAAAGCUUCCAUUUUCUGCGUGCUAUUGGAGAGGAUGCAUUGGACAUUUUACAGUAUCUUUCAGCUAGACGAGGCAAACUUGACAUUGACUGUGCUCAUGGCUACAUUUGAAAAUCUGAAAGACAAACUAAUGAAAAAAAGGACAGUGUGGCAUGCUUUAUAAUGGACUCCUGUAGCAAUUGCUGCGUGAGCUAAAUUUAACUUUGGAUAAAGCAGUUAAUGUGUUGAGCAGCUGAAACCAUCAGAGCACAAGCUAAAGAGCUGCGCAUGGAUGAGACAUCAGCGAAUGCAAUAAAAAGAGAGGAGCACCACACACAACGCCUUACAAAACAAAAACAAGCAAAAGAGAAAUAAAAAAACUAACGUGGAAAAUGUGGAGUUAUCCACAAGCCAAAAAAUUGCUCUGCAUAUGGAAAAUCGUGUAACAACUGGGGGAAAAAUAUAUAAUUUCUCAAAAUACUGCAAAGCUGAGGCUACAAAGGAAUAGGUUCUGAAGAAUUAUUUGUUGAUUCUGUGGAAAUAUGGAAUGCAGUAAAAGGUGAAUGGGAUUGUGCCAUUGACUGUGAAUGAAACUAUAAUACCAUUGACUGUGAAUGAAACUAUAAUACUGUCAUAACUCUCCUGUGAAGAUCUGAAGGAUCAGGUUACAGUGGGUCCGUUCUACAGCGCCCUCUCUCCCGCAUAGGUGGAGGGCGCCGCUUUAUGGCGGUCAUAAAAUACUCUGCUUCUGGGCUCUGUAGUAUUUGAGAUUGGAAUGUGACUGUGGAACACAGAGAGACACUUGGACAUCAAAAGGUUGAAUAAUUGAACAGUAUUUCUGUAUUCCAAGCAGUUGGGGUGGUCCGUGCACACUUAAGGAACAGUCAUGUCGAGUUUGUUUCAUUUGAUGACCUCACGAAGGACAGGAGACACACUGUUUCUUUGUUUAUAUACACUUCUCAAUUAUGGAGUUUGAAUGUUGUAUAAAAUAAAUGAUUAAGCAUAAGAAUACUUUUUGGAGCGAGAACAAUGUGAUCUUAGUCUUCUAAAUGAGAAUGUUUUUUCAUAGUAACUUAUGAUCAGUCAGUGGCCACGCCCCUGUGAACACAGACAUUACACGGCAUCAUGGAACGCCCCCUUUUCUACUCAUGUAUAAAACCACCCGUGACAAAAUUUAGAUUAGAGCAGAAAACAUGGCAGCUGUCGCUACAUGUUGAAAUGGUUGGCAACUCUACCAAAAAUACAAGACCAGAGAACACGGAGGUCAUCCCCACGCUGAAAUGGUUAAGAAAUCUACAAACUAAAGAGCAAUUAUUCAGGCUGCAGCUGUUUAAGUACUUUAGUCUGGUAAACGCAACCGAUCGAAAGACCGAAUAGUACGUCUGACAUUCAUUACAACAGACACUUUCCAGAGCCCGCUGAGAAAACUACAACCACAAAAGACUUUGGGACUUCUGGGGAAUGCAACCAGAGAUUCUAUCCAGCAGAUGGACCGGUGACUACAGAGAGAGACAACAAAGGCAUACACUCGUAAAUAUGUCAAUUGCAAUUUCUUUUCGAAUGUUCAAAUUAUUAACAUUUCCAUUAGCCAUUAGUAGUCAACUGUAUGUAUCUGAGUUUCCCGCCCUUGAACUGUCCCCACCCCUGUCCUUUGUCUACCAAGCCGUCAUAUCGGUUUCGUCCACUAGGGACUUUUCCUUUCUAUCAUGUUAGUAGCCAAUGUAUGACCUAUUGUGUGUUUUUAUGUAAUUCUGUGAUUGAUUAGUUGGUUAGUAAAUAAAUAAUUAAGACAAUUUGUAUAUCGCUGGUUCAUGAUUUAUGAUGCUCGGGUUUGUGCAGCUAUCCAAGGAUUUGCAACAUUCAGGAAUGAGACUGAUGAGGUAAUAAUACAUGUAACUGACAGUUAAUCUGUAAGUCUAUGUCGUUGUUUUUUUUGUUGAAUUGUUUACGUGUUCGCUAUACGGGGGAAAUGAUAAGACAGGUGGAACUACGUGGCUAAUAACUGUUGUAACGGGGAUCAUUAUCGUAGCAACACAUCUUUGGGGGUGAAGGCUUUCCCGCGCGAUGUUAGCUAAGUUUUCAUGUUACCGGGUGUAGUUCAUAAAGGUUGAUAUGUGUAUGUUAGGAUGAAGCGUGAAUUCAUGCCAGGAAUAUAAGUGUGAAGUUUGAUUUCCUCCCUUCUGUAAUAAGCAGCCAAUGAGUUCUCACGGAAGGUGAUAAUUCUGACUAAACUACAGAAUAAAGCCGCCAGUUAAAAUCAA